rnacentral:rRNA from 1 species
AGACCCGAAACCCGGUGAUCUAGCCAUGGGCAGGUUGAAGGUUGGGUAACACUAACUGGAGGACCGAACCGACUAAUGUUGAAAAAUUAGCGGAUGACCUGUGGCUGGGGGUGAAAGGCCAAUCAAACCGGGAGAUAGCUGGUUCUCCCCGAAAGCUAUUUAGGUAGCGCCUCGUGAAUUCAUCUCCGGGGGUAGAGCACUGUUUCGGCUAGGGGGCCAUCCCGGCUUACCAACCCGAUGCAAACUGCGAAUACCGGAGAAUGUUAUCACGGGAGACACACGGCGGGUGCUAACGUCCGUCGUGAAGAGGGAAACAACCCAGACCGCCAGCUAAGGUCCCAAAGUCAUGGUUAAGUGGGAAACGAUGUGGGAAGGCCCAGACAGCCAGGAUGUUGGCUUAGAAGCAGCCAUCAUUUAAAGAAAGCGUAAUAGCUCACUGGUCGAGUCGGCCUGCGCGGAAGAUGUAACGGGGCUAAACCAUGCACCGAAGCUGCGGCAGCGACGCUGAUGCGUUGUUGGGUAGGGGAGCGUUCUGUAAGCCUGUGAAGGUGGCCUGUGAGGGUUGCUGGAGGUAUCAGAAGUGCGAAUGCUGACAUAAGUAACGAUAAAGCGGGUGAAAAGCCCGCUCGCCGGAAGACCAAGGGUUCCUGUCCAACGUUAAUCGGGGCAGGGUGAGUCGACCCCUAAGGCGAGGCCGAAAGGCGUAGUCGAUGGGAAACGGGUUAAUAUUCCCGUACUUGGUGUUACUGCGAAGGGGGGACGGAGAAGGCUAUGUUGGCCGGGCGACGGUUGUCCCGGUUUAAGCGUGUAGGCUGGUUUUCCAGGCAAAUCCGGAAAAUCAAG